GGAGAGGUCGCAUAGUGGCCUAGUGCGCCGCCUUGGAAAGGCGGUAGACCCGAAAGGGUCUCGGGGGUUCGAAUCCCCCCCUCUCCGCCA
rnacentral:tRNA from 1 species